rnacentral:rRNA from 1 species
AGCGGCGGACGGGUGAGUAACGCGUGGGUAACCUGGCCUCAUACAGGGGGAUAACAGUUGGAAACGGCUGCUAAUACCGCAUAAGCGCACAGUACCGCAUGGUACCGUGUGAAAAACUCCGGUGGUAUGAGAUGGACCCGCGUCUGAUUAGCUAGUUGGUGGGGUAACGGCCUACCAAGGCGACGAUCAGUAGCCGGCCUGAGAGGGUGAACGGCCACAUUGGGACUGAGACACGGCCCAA